CCUACGGGAGGCAGCAGUGGGGAAUAUUGGGCAAUGGGCGCAAGCCUGACCCAGCAACGCCGCGUGAAGGAAGAAGGCUUUCGGGUUGUAAACUUCUUUUCUCAGGGACGAAGCAAGUGACGGUACCUGAGGAAUAAGCCACGGCUAACUACGUGCCAGCAGCCGCGGUAAUACGUAGGUGGCAAGCGUUAUCCGGAUUUACUGGGUGUAAAGGGCGUGUAGGCGGGGCGGCAAGUCAGAUGUGAAAACCAUGGGCUCAACCUAUGGCCUGCAUUUGAAACUGUAGUUCUUGAGUGCUGGAGAGGCAGACGGAAUUCCGAGUGUAGCGGUGAAAUGCGUAGAUAUUAGGAGGAACACCAGUGGCGAAGGCGGUCUGCUGGACAGCAACUGACGCUGAGGCGCGAAAGCGUGGGGAGCAAACAGGAUUAGAUACCCCGGUAGUC
rnacentral:rRNA from 1 species